UCUCUCUCUGCAACUUCUCCAUCUUCCCCUACAAUCUCUCAGUCUUCAGAGCACCCUUUCCAUUAAAACACUGCAAUUGAAGACAACGACCCAAACAAAUCCUACACAAUGGACGGCAAGACCGACUCCUAGCCUCGCACCAUUGUCCCCCACCAGAUCUCCGCGUUGUCGUCCCCCACUCUCACUCCUCCAACAGCCGCCACUCCUGCGAGUCCUCCUCCACCCGGUUCUCCGGGUCCCUCUAAAUCAUCAACUUUUAUACAUAUAACUUCUCCAUCUGCGUCUGUAUAUUAUUCCCAUUUCAAUUAAUUCCUCUCCCAAUUUAGGGUUCUUUAAUUGUGACAGAAAAAUAAAGGAAAGCUUGUGAAUGAAUUCAUAAAUUAUUUUAAUUUUCUUUUGUGGUAGAUCCUAUAGCUAGCUAGAAAAGAAACAAAAUUGUUGGAUACUUGCUUGGUGUUCCAGGCUGUUUUAUCUUUUUGUUCCAGCUGUGGACGAUUUUGGUGGUGUAGAGGAAUUUUGUUGCUUCAUCUACUGGUUUUGAUCUUGUUCUCUAAUUCCGAAAAGUUGUGCGUCAAGGAGGAUUCUUU
rnacentral:lncRNA from 1 species